rnacentral:rRNA from 1 species
CCCUUAGAUGUUCUGGGCCGCACGCGUGCUACACUGAGUGGAUCAGCGGGUCAGGUUGCGCGAAAGCGUUUCCUAAUCUUUAAAUCCGCUCGUGAUGGGGAUUGACGGUUGCAAUUUUCUGUCAUGAACGAGGAAUACCUUGUAAGCGCGGGUCAUCAUCCCGCGCUGAAUACGUCCCUGCCCUUUGUACACACCGCCCGUCGCUCCUACCGAUUGAGUGGUCCGGUGAACUCUUGGGACUGCCAGAUUCACCUCCGGCAUAAGUUGAAUGAACCUUACCAUUUAGAGGAAGGUGAAGUCGUAACA